rnacentral:lncRNA from 10 species
GUGGGGGGCUUGCAGGGGUGCCUGGGUCGGGGGCUGCAGGUGGGAGUGAGCAAAUGUGCUGUCUCGCCACCUCGGGACAGGUGGUAGGGCCUCUGACACAGAGUGGUCCUUCCUGCUGUUCACAGCUCAGCUCACCGUGGGCUGACCAUAGAUUCUCGUUGAAAUCCUAACGCCCCAGGCAAUGAUGUUAGGAGGCGGGGCUUCUGGGAGAUGGCAAGUUCGUGAGGCUGCAGCUCUGCUGGGGGAUCAGUGUCCUUCUACAAGCGGCUCCAGGGAGGUCCCUUGCCCCUUCCACCAUGUGAGGACCCGAGAUGGUGCCGUCUAUGAACCGGGAAGUGAGUCCUCUCCGGACGUGGAACAAGUUGGUGCCUUGAUUUUGAACUUGCAGCCUCCAGGUAUGAAUGUGAGCUCUGGGCUCACUGCCUGUGGGGAGCCCUGCCUCACAAGGAG